rnacentral:rRNA from 1 species
UCAUCUGUGGGGGUAGAGCACUGUUUCGGCUAGGGGGCCAUCCCGGCUUACCAACCCGAUGCAAACUACGAAUACCACAGAAUGUUAUCACGGGAGACACACGGCGGGUGCUAACGUCCGUCGUGAAGAGGGAAACAACCCAGACCGCCAGCUAAGGUCCCAAAGUCAUGGUUAAGUGGGAAACGAUGUGGGAAGGCCCAGACAGCCAGGAUGUUGGCUUAGAAGCAGCCAUCAUUUAAAGAAAGCGUAAUAGCUCACUGGUCGAGUCGGCCUGCGCGGAAGAUGUAACGGGGCUAAACCAUGCACCGAAGCUGCGGCAGCGACACUUAGGUGUUGUUGGGUAGGGGAGCGUUCUGUAAGCCGUUGAAGGUGGACUGUGAGGUCUGCUGGAGGUAUCAGAAGUGCGAAUGCUGACAUAAGUAACGAUAAAGCGGGUGAAAAGCCCGCUCGCCGGAAGACCAAGGGUUCCUGUCCAACGUUAAUCGGGGCAGGGUGAGUCGACCCCUAAGGCGAGGCCGAAAGGCGUAGUCGAUGGGAAACAGGUUAAUAUUCCUGUACUUGGUGUUACUGCGAAGGGGGGACGGAGAAGGCUAUGUUGGCCGGGCGACGGUUGUCCCGGUUUAAGCAUGUAGGCGGAGGUUCCAGGUAAAUCCGGUACCUUUUAACGCUGAGGUGUGAUGACGAGGCACUACGGUGCUGAAG